rnacentral:rRNA from 1 species
UACGUAGGGGGCAAGCGUUGUCCGGAUUUAUUGGGCGUAAAAGGCUUGUAGGUGGCCACGCCAAGUCGGAUGUGAAAUCUCCCGGCUCAACUGGGAGGGGUCAUUCGAUACUGGUGGGCUCGAGGCCGGUAGGGGGAAGCGGAAUUCCCGGGUGUAGUGGUGGAAUGCGUAGAUAUCGGGAGGAACACCAGUGGCGAAGGCGGCUCCUGGACCGGUCCUGACACUGAGGAGCGAAAGC